CGCGGUUAUACAAAAUAUACGAAUAAAUUUUUUUAUUUUAUAGUUAAAUUAUUUAUUUAUUAAUAUUGAUUUUUAUAAAUAAGGUGAAAUUUUUUAUAAAAAAUAAAUUUUAAAUUAAUUAAUUGAAGCUAUUAGAUUUAAAUAAUAAACUAGGAUUAGAUACCCUAUUAUUUUAAAAUUAAAAAUUCAUUAUUAGGUAGUAAUAGUUACGAUCUUGAAACUUAAAAAAUUUGGCGGUAUUUUAAUCUAAUUAGAGGAAUCUGUUCCAUAAUUGAUGAUCCACGAUUAAUUUUACAUAAUUUUAUUUAGUUUGUAUAUCGUCGUUAAAAGAAAAUUUUAUAAGGAUAUAAAUUUUCUAGGGUUUUUAUAAGAAUUUAUUUCAGAUCAAGGUGCAGCUUAUAAUUAUGAGGAAAUGGAUUACAAUAAAUUUAUUUAUACGAAUAAUAAGAUGAAUAUUUUAUUUAAAGGUGGAUUUAAUAGUAAAUUAAAUUAUAUAAUUUAAUUGAUUUUAGCUCUAAAAUAUGCACAUAUCGCCCGUCGCUCUCUUUUUUAAAAAGAGAUAAGUCGUAACAAAGUAGAUGUACUGGAAAGUGUAUCUAGAAUGAAUU
rnacentral:rRNA from 1 species